rnacentral:tRNA from 1 species
UAUAAGGUGCCUGAUUAAAGGAUAAUUUUGAUAGAAUUAAUUAAGUGGCCCCCCCCCACCCUUAUAA